UACGUAGGGCGCAAGCGUUGUCCGGAUUCACUGGGUGUAAAGGGUGCGCAGGCGGGAGUGCAAGUCAGAGGUGAAAUCUCACGGCUCAACCGUGAAACUGCCUUUGAUACUGCAUUUCUUGAGUUAGGGAGAGGUUGAUGGAAUUCCAGGUGUAGCGGUGAAAUGCGUAGAUAUCAAGAGGAACACCUGAGGUGAAGACGGGUUGCUGGGCCGACACUGACGCUGACAGCGCGAAAGCCAGGGGAGCAAACGGG
rnacentral:rRNA from 1 species